AGGAAGUGUGAGGGGCUGACGUGGCUCUCUCUGCCUGAUGCCAUUUACAUACUGAGGAACACCCAGUCAGACUCUCACAGGCUGCAGCUUUAUAAAGCAGAGCCCAGUGAAGGGAGAGUUUAUCAGGAACCAGGCACAGGGACAGGAGCACACACCAUGAUUUCACACAUCCAGCUGAUCUGGCCCCUGGCAUUCUGUGUUGCAGGUAUCAGUGGGGACAUCAUCAUGAGCCAGUCAUCCCCGGUCCUGUCAGUGGAACUGGGCCAGACCGUAACACUCACCUGUACGGCCAGUCAAGAUAUUACAAAUGACCUCAGCUGGUACCAGCAGCGAGAAGGUCAGAAACCCUCUCUCCUGAUCUAUGAAGCAACAACUCGAAACACAGGAGUCUCCGAGCGAUUCACCGGCAGUGAAUCAGGGACCAGUUUCACCCUGACAAUCAGCAACGUUCAGAAUGAGAAUGUCACUGACUAUUACCGUAUGCAGCACAACAGCUACCCUUACGUUCGGUAAAGGAACCAAGCUCAGACUGAGUAAGUAAA